rnacentral:rRNA from 1 species
UACAGAGGCCUCGAGCGUUAGGCGGAAUCACUGGGCUUAAAGCGUGUGUAGGCGGACUUCUAAGUACCUUGUGAAAUCCCACGGCUUACCCGUGGAACUGCUGGGUAUACUGGCGAUCUUGAGCGACUUAGGGGCAGACGGAACAAGUGGUGGAGCGGUGAAAUGCGCAGAUAUCGGGAGGAACACCGGUGGCGAAGGCGGUUCUCUGGGCCUGUACUGACGCUGAGGAGCGAAAGCGUGGGGAGCGAACAGG